UCAAUCGUUUCCCCCAAAAUCCCUAAAACUUUGAAGCAAGAUCAUUUUCCCCCAAAAUCCCCAAAAUCCCUAAGAUAAUUUUCCCUCAAAACGCUCAAAAUCCCUAAAACUUUGACGGUAGUUUCUUGACGAGCGACGACGACGAGUGUUCACCGACGAUCUCUCUCUCGACGAGGGACGACGGCUAGCAGUCUCAAUCGCUCUCGACGACGGCUAGCAGUGAUGCUGUGACGGCGUAUUACGAUCUCUCUCUCUGCGACGGCUAGCGGUGGUGCGGCGUCUCUGUCUUUCUCUCGCGCGAGCUCAGUCAGUCUCAAUCGCUCCUCUCUCACUCACUCAGCGAGUGACGCCUAAUGAAAAAUUGAAAUAUCAGAAAGAAUAUAAGGAGUCAUUGAAGAAGCUUGAGGAGCAAUGGCCAAAAGAGCAAGAUGGUGGCCUCGUCAAGACAUCGAGGGAAGAGGUAUCGAGUUCCAUCAUUAUAUAAGUAUUAUGGUUUGUGUUGUUGGUACUAAACAUAUCUUAUGUUUUCUUGCUGGUUCAUCACUUCUAUGCAUAAUAACUAUGCCGUUUUACAUGUAAUCCUAAUGUGCAAAAUGUUUUAAAAUUUUCCUUUUGACAGUUAAUUGUCUCCAAUGGACUCAUCUUAGUAGUGCGCCUCUUCCUUCUAAAAUCUCUCCCUUCUUCGUCACUAAAGAGAUGUUAUACAAGUGAAUAAAUAUUAUGGAUAUAGACUCUCAUCUAGAAUAGCAUCAUGGUCUAGAGAAUUUCUACUUUUACAAUAGUUAACCUCAAGAAAGAAACCCUUUACUUUGCCAAUGAACACCAUGUUUUUAAUUUGCAAUUUCGUAGGAAAAUUUCUCUUGGGCCCUAUCUAUGUUGUUAGAUUGCCUUAUUUGUUCUGCCCAACUUUUCUAAAGUUUCCAGAUAUUCUAGCUUUAAAUUUUCAGCUUCAUGAUUUUUCAACUAUAUUUUAUCAAAAGGAACGUCAACUUUCUGAAAGAUGAGAAGACUUGUUUUCUUUGUUAAGACGACUCAUUUGUAUACCUUUUCCAUCAGGUUGUGACAUUUAUACAACUGUGUAACAUUAUAUUCUUAUUAUUGUUUUAUCCACUUCUAUAUGGGGCUCCAAAGGUCACAUGCUUACAUUUGGCUAGUCAAGGUUGACACCUGGGUCAUGCCUCCAACUCCAAUGGAUUAAACUAAUGGUUAACUUAUACUACAAUUCCCUUGGCAAUGACCACCUAGUGUUUUCCUUUGUGAUACACAUAUUCCUGCAGUGUCCUCUGUUGAGGAAGUUGUUGGGGUUAAAAAUUUGCUUCAACAUGAGAAACUUUUAAGGAAGUCUGCAGAAAAGGAAGUCAAUAAUCUUAGGAAUCAAUUGCUGCAAUGGAAAAGGACAGAGGCAGCAGGGAAUUCUGAGAUCUCGAAGCUUCACAAGUUGUUGGAAGAUGAGGUGCAUCAGAAACGUAAACUUGAAGAAGAAAUAGCUGUACUACAAAGUCAACUAUUGCAAUUAAGUUUUGAAGCUGAUGAGGAAGGUGCGGGUUGGAUUCGGAGUGCCCGGGGUUGAGCUGGAGAUUUUCUGGGCUAGAGGACUGAGCUGCACCGCACGUGCGGGAGGUGAGGCCGCAUGUGCGGGAAACAUGGGAGUUUCUGGGUUGCAUUCUGCUUAAAAGGCAGGUGUGGAGAGGAGGUGCGGGAGAGUGCUGCACGUGCAGGAAUCAGUGCCGCACGUACGGGAAGCACGCUCCGCACGUACAGGAGCAAGUGCCACACGUGCGGGACGGGUUGAGUCUGAAAAUCAGUUUUUCUUCUUUCAUUGGGCUGUGUGUAUCUCAUUGUUUUUGGAUAAUCUCUCGAGGACUUCAUUGUGUGCGGUGAAGAUCAUGUUUCAACACCGUCGAUUUUAAGGGUUUCAUCUCAUUUUCUUCUCCGAGCUUGAGGAAAAGAUGUGGUGAUCUCGCCGAGUUAAGGGCGUGGACAUAUUUUGUGGAGAGUAAACGACUCUCAUUUUGUUGUGGUUUAUUUUGCUAGCCAAGGGCUAUAAGUGUAUGGGUUCGUGAAACCAUUUUUGUAUAACCGGGUUUCAGCCUUGGAAUAUGUAAGCCCUUAAGGGCAUUUUAUUUAUUUUUGAGAUUUGAUGUUCUACAUGCUAUAGAUUCAUGUAUUUGAUAUCAUUGAAUGUAUAAUUCGCAUGUGGGACUAUUUUGUAUAAAUCUUAUCGAUUAAUGAUGUAAAGGAUGGAGAAUUGCUAUUGUUUUUUAAUGAAUGUUGGUUGAUGUA